GCAUCGAUGAAGAACGCAGCGAAAUGCGAUACGUAAUGUGAAUUGCAGAAUUCAGUGAACCAUCGAAUCUUCGAACGCGAAUUGCGCUUUCGGGUAUUCCCGGGAGCAUGUCUGUUUGAGUGUCGUGAUGAACCUCACCCCGCAUGAUUGUGGUGGUGGAAGUGAGUGUUGGCGGACUGUUGCGCGAGCGAUGGGUUGCCGAGACUUUAAGGACGCUGAGCUUUGGCUUGUAGCCCGAGUUCACCAUGAUGUGACAGCGAUGACUCGUUAUGGUGAGAGAGGAGCGGUAUAGCCUGUUGUAGCUCUUCUUCUUGUUGCGCUGGUGCACUCUUGUUAGUGUAGUUGCGGAACAGCAUCCAACUUUUGACCUCAAAUCAGAUAAGACUACCCGCUGAACUUAAGCAUAUCAAUAAGCGGAGGA
rnacentral:rRNA from 1 species